CAAACGACUCUCGGCAACGGAUAUCUUGGCUCACGCAUCGAUGAAGAACGUAGCAAAAUGCGAUACUUGGUGUGAAUUGCAGAAUCCCGUGAACCAUCGAGUUUUUGAACGCAAGUUGCGCCCAAAGCCUUUCGGCCGAGGGCACGUCUGCCUGGGCGUCACAC
rnacentral:rRNA from 36 species